rnacentral:rRNA from 1 species
AAUGUCUGGGAAACUGCCCGAUGGAGGGGGAUAACUACUGGAAACGGUAGCUAAUACCGCAUAACGUCUUCGGACCAAAGUGGGGGACCUUCGGGCCUCACACCAUCGGAUGUGCCCAGAUGGGAUUAGCUAGUAGGUGGGGUAAUGGCUCACCUAGGCGACGAUCCCUAGCUGGUCUGAGAGGAUGACCAGCCACACUGGAACUGAGACACGGUCCAGACUCCUACGGGAGGCAGCAGUGGGGAAUAUUGCACAAUGGGCGCAAGCCUGAUGCAGCCAUGCCGCGUGUAUGAAGAAGGCCUUCGGGUUGUAAAGUACUUUCAGCGGGGAGGAAGGCGAUGGAGUUAAUAGCUUCAUCGAUUGACGUUACCCGCAGAAGAAGCACCGGCUAACUCCGUGCCAGCAGCCGCGGUAAUACGGAGGGUGCAAGCGUUAWUCGGAAUUACUGGGCGUAAAGCGCACGCAGGCGGUCUGUCAAGUCGGAUGUGAAAUCCCCGGGCUUAACCUGGGAACUGCAUUCGAAACUGGCAGGCUAGAGUCUUGUAGAGGGGGGGUAGAAUUCCAGGUGUAGCGGUGAAAUGCGUAGAGAUCUGGAGGAAUACCGGUGGCGAAGGCGGCCCCCUGGACAAAGACUGACGCUCAGGUGCGAAAGCGUGGGGAGCAAACAGGAUUAGAUACCCCUGGUAGUCCACGCCGUAAACGAUGUCGACUUGGAGGUUGUGCCCUUGAGGCGUGGCUUCCGGAGCUAACGCGUUAAGUCGACCGCCUGGGGAGUACGGCCGCAAGGUUAAAACUCAAAUGAAUUGACGGGGGCCCGCACAAGCGGUGGAGCAUGUGGUUUAAUUCGAUGCAACGCGAAGAACCUUACCUACUCUUGACAUCCAGAGAACUUAGCAGAGAUGCUUUGGUGCCUUCGGGAACUCUGAGACAGGUGCUGCAUGGCUGUCGUCAGCUCGUGUUGUGAAAUGUUGGGUUAAGUCCCGCAACGAGCGCAACCCUUAUCCUUUGUUGCCAGCGGUCCGGCCGGGAACUCAAAGGAGACUGCCAGUGAUAAACUGGAGGAAGGUGGGGAUGACGUCAAGUCAUCAUGGCCCUUACGAGUAGGGCUACACACGUGCUACAAUGGCGCAUACAAAGAGAAGCGACCUCGCGAGAGCAAGCGGACCUCAUAAAGUGCGUCGUAGUCCGGAUUGGAGUCUGCAACUCGACUCCAUGAAGUCGGAAUCGCUAGUAAUCGUAGAUCAGAAUGCUACGGUGAAUACGUUCCCGGGCCUUGUACACACCGCCC